rnacentral:rRNA from 1 species
CUACGGGAUGCACCAGUGAGGAAUAUUGCACAAUGGGGGGAACCCUGAUGCAGCAACGCCGCGUGGAGGAUGACGCAUUUCGGUGUGUAAACUCCUUUUAUAUGUCAAGAAAAUGACGGUAGCAUAUGAAUAAGCACCGGCUAACUCCGUGCCAGCAGCCGCGGUAAUACGGAGGGUGCAAGCGUUACUCGGAAUCACUGGGCGUAAAGGACGCGUAGGCGGGUUGGAAAGUCAGGUGUGAAAUCCUACAGCUUAACUGUAGAACCGCACUUGAAACUUCUAAUCUAGAGUAUGGGAGGGGGAGAUGGAAUUAGUGGUGUAGGGGUAAAAUCCGUAGAUAUCACUAGGAAUACCUAAAGCGAAGGCGAUCUCCUGGAACAUUACUGACGCUAAGGCGUGAAAGCGUGGGGAGCAAACAGGAUUAGAUACCCUUGUAGUC